AGGACGAACGCUGGCGGCGUGCUUAACACAUGCAAGUCGAGCGGUAAGGCUCCUUCGGGGGUACACGAGCGGCGAACGGGUGAGUAACACGUGAGUAAUCUGCCCCUGGCUCUGGGAUAAGCACUCGAAAGGGUGUCUAAUACCGGAUAUGACGAACCUCCGCAUGGGGUGUUUGUGGAAAGUUUUUUCGGCUAGGGAUGGGCCCGCGGCCUAUCAGCUUGUUGGUGAGGUAACGGCCCACCAAGGCGACGACGGGUA
rnacentral:rRNA from 1 species